AGGGGAAUGCGGGUCUAUAAUGCAAGUCGAGCGAAUGAAGAGGAGCUUGCUCCUCUGAUUUAGCGGCGGACGGGUGAGUAACACGUGGGUAAUCUGCCUGUAAGACGGGGAUAACUCCGGGAAACCGGGGCUAAUACCGGAUAAUAAGAGAAGAAGCAUUUCUUCUUUUUGAAAGUCGGUUUCGGCUGACACUUACAGAUGAGCCCGCGGCGCAUUAGCUAGUUGGUGAGGUAACGGCUCACCAAGGCGACGAUGCGUAGCCGACCUGAGAGGGUGAUCGGCCACACUGGGACUGAGACACGGCCCAGACUCCUACGGGAGGCAGCAGUAGGGAAUCUUCGGCAAUGGGCGAAAGCCUGACCGAGCAACGCCGCGUGAGCGAUGAAGGCCUUCGGGUCGUAAAGCUCUGUUGUUAGAGAAGAACAAGUACGAGAGUAACUGCUCGUACCUUGACGGUACCUAACCAGAAAGCCACGGCUAACUACGUGCCAGCAGCCGCGGUAAUACGUAGGUGGCAAGCGUUAUCCGGAAUUAUUGGGCGUAAAGCGCGCGCAGGCGGUCUCUUAAGUCUGAUGUGAAAGCCCACGGCUCAACCGUGGAGGGUCAUUGGAAACUGGGAGACUUGAGUGCAGGAGAGAAAAGUGGAAUUCCACGUGUAGCGGUGAAAUGCGUAGAGAUGUGGAGGAACACCAGUGGCGAAGGCGGCUUUUUGGCCUGUAACUGACGCUGAGGCGCGAAAGCGUGGGGAGCAAACAGGAUUAGAUACCCUGGUAGUCCACGCCGUAAACGAUGAGUGCUAGGUGUUGGGGGGUUCCACCCUCAGUGCUGAAGUUAACACAUUAAGCACUCCGCCUGGGGAGUACGACCGCAAGGUUGAAACUCAAAGGAAUUGACGGGGGCCCGCACAAGCAGUGGAGCAUGUGGUUUAAUUCGAAGCAACGCGAAGAACCUUACCAGGUCUUGACAUCCUCUGACCACUCUAGAGAUAGAGCUUUCCCCUUCGGGGGACAGAGUGACAGGUGGGUGCAUGGGUUGUCGUCAGCUCCGUGUCGUGAGAUGUUGGGUUAAGUCCCCCAACCGAGCGCAACCCCUUGACCUUAAUUUGCCA
rnacentral:rRNA from 1 species